AGUGAACGCUGGCGGUAGGCCUAACACAUGCAAGUCGAACGGCAGCACAGUAAGAGCUUGCUCUUACGGGUGGCGAGUGGCGGACGGGUGAUGUAUACAUCGGAAUCUACUUUUUCGUGGGGGAUAACGUAGGGAAACUUACGCUAAUACCGCAUACGACCUACGGGUGAAAGCAGUGGAUCUUCGGACCUUGCGCGUUUUAAUGAGCCGAUGUCGGAUUAGCUAGUUGGCGGGGUAAAGGCCCACCAAGGCGACGAUCCGUAGCUGGUCUGAGAGGAUGAUCAGCAACACUGGAACUGAGACACGGACAAGACUACUACGGGAGGAAGCAGUGGGGAAUAUUGGACAAUGGGCGAAAGCAUGAUACAGCCAUACCGCGUGGGUGAAGAAGGCCUUCGGGUUGUAAAGACCUUUUGUUGGGAAAGAAAAGAAGCAGGUUAAUAAACCGCUGUUCUGACGGUACCCAAAGAAUAAGCACCGGCUAACUUCGUG
rnacentral:rRNA from 1 species